rnacentral:rRNA from 1 species
UACAGAGGUCUCAAGCGUUGUUCGGAUUCAUUGGGCGUAAAGGGUGCGUAGGCGGCGCGGUAAGUCGGGUGUGAAAGUUCGAGGCUUAACUUCGAAACUGCAUUCGAUACUGCCGUGCUUGAGGACUGGAGAGGAGACUGGAAUUUACGGUGUAGCGGUGAAAUGCGUAGAUAUCGUAAGGAAGACCAGUGGCGAAGGCGGGUCUCUGGACAGUUCCUGACGCUGAGGCACGAAGGCCAGGGGAGCAAACGGG